CGGGGGUGCAAGCGUUGUUCGGAUUUAUUGGGCGUAAAGCGCGUGUAGGCGGUUUGUUAAGUCUGAUGUGAAAGCCCUGGGCUCAACCCAGGAAGUGCAUUGGAUACUGGCAGACUUGAAUACGGGAGAGGGUAGUGGAAUUCCUGGUGUAGGAGUGAAAUCCGUAGAUAUCAGGAGGAACACCGGUGGCGAAGGCGGCUACCUGGACCGAUAUUGACGCUGAGACGCGAAAGCGUGGGUAGCAAACAGGGUUAGAUACCCUGGUAGUCCACGCCGUAAACGAUGAGUACUAGGUGUUGCGGGUAUUGACCCCUGCAGUGCCGCAGCUAACGCAUUAAGCACUCCGCCUGGGAAGUACGGUCGCAAGACUAA
rnacentral:rRNA from 1 species